rnacentral:rRNA from 1 species
GAUGAACGCUGGCGGUAUGCUUAACACAUGCAAGUCGAACGGAACCUUUCGGGGUUUAGUGGCGGACGGGUGAGUAACGCGUGAGAACAUGCCUAUCGAUUGGGGACAACAGUUGGAAACGACUGCUAAUACCGAAUGUGCCUUAGGGUAAAAGAUUUAUCGUCGAUAGAUUGGCUCGCGUCAGAUUAGCUAGUAGGAGUGGUAACGGCACCCCUAGGCUACGAUCUGUACUUGGUCUGAGAGGAUGACCAGGCACACUGGAACUGAGACACGGUCCAGACUCCUACGGGAGGCAGCAGUGGGGAAUUUUCCGCAAUGGGCGCAAGCCUGACGGAGCAAUACCGCGUGAGGGAGGACGCUUUUUGGAGUGUAAACCUCUUUUAUCAGGGAAGAAUCGAUGACGGUACCUGAUGAAUCAGCAUCGGCUAACUCCGUGCCAGCAGCCGCGGUAAUACGGAGGAUGCAAGCGUUAUCCGGAAUUAUUGGGCGUAAAGCGUCCGUAGGUGGCACUUCAAGUCUUUUGUCAAAUCGUGCAGCUUAACUGCAUACAGGCGGAGGAAACUGGAGCGCUAGAGUGCGAUAGGGGUCACAGGAAUUCCCAGUGUAGCGGUGAAAUGCGUAGAUAUUGGGAAGAACACCAGCGGCGAAAGCGUGUGACUGGGUCUGCACUGACACUGAGGGACGAAAGCUAGGGGAGCGAAAGGGAUUAGAUACCCCUGUAGUCCUAGCCGUAAACGAUGACAACUAGGUGUGGUUCGUAUCGACCCGAGCCGUGCCGUAGCCAACGCGUUAAGUUGUCCGCCUGGGGAGUACGCACGCAAGUGUGAAACUCAAAGGAAUUGACGGGGGCCCGCACAAGCGGUGGAGUAUGUGGUUUAAUUCGAUGCAACGCGAAGAACCUUACCAAGGCUUGACAUCCUGCGAACCUCUUUGAAAGGAGAGGGUGCCUUCGGGAGCGCAGAGACAGGUGGUGCAUGGCUGUCGUCAGCU